ACAUGAUAUAGACAUCGUACCCAAAAGAAGAGCGAGAUGUAAUCCUGAGGCUGAAGCCACCGAGUUUAUGUGAUCUGGAUGUGACAAGUCUUGUUUUAAGGCCCAUUGGAUCAAUGAUUGGAAAGACACCAACUGUUGAUGUUCUAUCUCAACAUUCUCCAGAUUCAUGUGAGCGAUAAACCGACUUCAUCCCUCCAACAGACACCAACUGUUGGGGUUCUAUCUCAACAUUCUCCAGAUUCAGAUGUGAGCGAUAAACCGACUUCAUCCCUCCAACAGAAACCAACUGUUGAGGUUCCAUCUCAACAUUCUCCAGAUUCAGAUGUGAGCCAUUAACUGACUUCAUCCCUCCAACAGAAACCAACUGUUGAGGUUCUAUCUCAACAUUCUCUAGAUUCAGAUGACAGCCAUAAACCGACUUCAUCCCUCCAACAGAUUGACAGCAGGACAAAUCGCUGGAAGUGGGUAUGUCUCAAGCUUCUUCCACUUGGUCCACUCCAAAGCGGGCUGCAAAGGGGAAGAAGUGGAAGCAGUUGAAUGACACAUGUUGCAUUUUGUAACUGGCAACAAAGUACCAGGUAAAAAAGAUUGUGAAGCCUCCCUCCAUAAAGAACUAGUAACUCUACAGGACAGAGAUUGGCUUGACAUCAAGUACUACAUCCAUAACAGAAUUAUAUUUAAAAAAGGAAAAAAAAUGUUUUCCCACAUCUUCUGUGGUAGUUUGAGUAUGUUACCAGCAAUUAAAAAAGCAAAAUAAACAGCAAGCGUUUUGUAUUUAUUCCAGAUAAUUCUUAGCGACAAAAUCCACAAAAACAAUUCAGUUACACUUAAUCGACAAUUACAUUUUUACCCAUGUUUCUUUUAAACUCUUCUUGGUUUUAGAUUACAGUAGCAUGGGAUGGGGAUUUUUUUUUAAAUGACAACACAUCAACUAAACCAACUCAGGUGGUUUUGUUAAGUCUCUGAUGUCAUUAGCCUCAUAUGUCACAUGAACCUGAAAUCUUAAACACUCUGUGACGUCAUGGUUGUCAUAUUUCACAAACUUGAAAUCUUAAACACUCUGUGACGUCAUGGUCAUCAUAUGUCACAUGAACCUGAAAUCUUAAACACUCUGUGACGUCAUGGUUGUCAUAUUUCACAAACUUGAAAUCUUAAACACUCUGUGACGUCAUGGUUGUCAUAUUUCACAAACUUGAAAUCUUAAACACUCUGUGACGUCAUGGUCAUCAUAUGUCACAUAAACUUGAAAUCUUAAACACUCUGUGACGUCAUGGUCAUCAUAUGUCACAUGAACCUGAAAUCUUAAACACUCGGUGACGUCAUGGUCAUCAUAUGUCACAUAAACUUGAAAUCUUAAACACUCUGGUCUUCAUUUAUCACCUAAACCUGACAAGUCCUCAUAUGUACCAUAAAAAUCAGGUUCAGAAAAAAACAAAAGAGUUGCAAAAAUCUCAAUAGACCACUGUGUUUCUAAAAUUCUGGUUCACUAACCGUCUGAUUCCCAGGCCUGCAGGACCAUUGGAAAGGCAUGUCCCUAUAUGUCACGUUUUUGUCAUAAGUCCUCAUAUGUCACCC